AGGGUUGUAGCUCAGUGGUAGAGAGACUGCCUAGCAUGCAUGAAGCACUGGGUUCCAUCCCCAGCACCCCAU
rnacentral:tRNA from 1 species